rnacentral:misc_RNA from 1 species
GAUGAAGAACGUAGCGAAAUGCGAUAAGUAAUGUGAAUUGCAGAAUUCAGUGAAUCAUCGAAUCUUUGAACGCACAUUGCGCCCCUUGGUAUUCCGAGGGGCAUGCCUGUUCGAGCGUCAUUAUAACCCCUCAAGCUCAGCUUGGUGUUGGGGCCUGCUGCACUGGCAGCCCUUAAAAUCAGUGGCGGCGCCGUCUGGCUCUAAGCGUAGUAAUUCUUCUCGCUAUGGAGUCCUGGUGGAUGCUUGCCAUCAACCCCCAAUUUUUCUAUGGUUGACCUCGGAUCAGGUAGGGAUACCCGCUGAACUUAAGCAUAUCAAUAAGCGGAGA